AUUGAACGCUGGCGGCAGGCCUAACACAUGCAAGUCGAACGAGUGGCGGACGGGUGAGUAAUGUCUGGGAAACUGCCCGAUGGAGGGGGAUAACUACUGGAAACGGUAGCUAAUACCGCAUACCAUCGGAUGUGCCCAGAUGGGAUUAGCUAGUAGGUGGGGUAACGGCUCACCUAGGCGACGAUCCCUAGCUGGUCUGAGAGGAUGACCAGCCAAAUUGGAACUGAGACACGGGCCAGACUACUACGGGAGGCAGCAGUGGGGAAUAUUGCACAAUGGGCGCAAGCCUGAGGCAGCCAUGCCGGGUGUAUGAAGAAGGCCAUCGGGUUGUAAAGGACUUUAAGCGAGGAGGCGUUACUCGCAGAAGAAGCAACGGCUAACUCCGUGCCAGCAGCCGCGGUAAUAA
rnacentral:rRNA from 1 species